rnacentral:tRNA from 1 species
GCGGUGGUGGCGGAAUUGGUAGACGCGCUAGCUUCAGGUGUUAGUGUCCUUGGACGUGAGGGUUCAAGUCCCUCCUUCCGCA